CCUACGGGUGGCAGCAGUGGGGAAUAUUGGGCAAUGGAGGAAACUCUGACCCAGCAAUGCCGCGUGAAUGAAGAAGGUCUUCGGAUUGUAAAGUUCUUUAGUCAGGGAAGAAUAAAAUGACGGUACCUGAAGAAUAAGCUCCGGCUAACUACGUGCCAGCAGCCGCGGUAAUACGGAGGAUGCGAGCGUUAUCCGGAUUUAUUGGGUUUAAAGGGUGCGUAGGCGGGAUGCCAAGUCAGCGGUAAAAAUGCGGUGCUCAACGCCGUCGAGCCGUUGAAACUGGCGUUCUUGAGUGGGCGAGAAGUAUGCGGAAUGCGUGGUGUAGCGGUGAAAUGCAUAGAUAUCACGCAGAACUCCGAUUGCGAAGGCAGCAUACCGGCGCCCUACUGACGCUGAGGCACGAAAGCGUGGGUAUCGAACAGGAUUAGAUACCCUGGUAGUC
rnacentral:rRNA from 1 species